GAUGUGAUUUGAAUAGGACUGUGACUGAACGAGUGGGAAGUUUAUUUAUCUAUAUUUGUAUUUUGUUUUGAGGUCGUUGUUCCCCCUCCCCUUUUCAACAUUGGACGUGUAUAUUUUUCUACAGUUUACUCACCGUACAUUAGGUGGCGGCAGACACGUUAUAUUUGUGUAAAUGUCAGUAUACCAGAGAAGAAGAUGACGCUGCUGCACUGUCCAAGUGGGGAACAGGAAGUUCCGGGUCGAAACGACAGAACUGUGCUGUUGUGUGGAUAGUGGUUGUGUCCGUUUCAAAUGUAUGAGGUUUCUGUGUUUUACACUAUAGCCAUUACCAUAUAUAUCAUUGAAUAUUAUCUGCUGUUGGCUUGUGUGGAUGUAUGUAUGUGUUAUGCAACAUAGCUGACUUGAAACAUUGUUAACAGUUUCAAGGCCAUGGGCCUUUCUCAUGUUUGAAUUGUAGCAGGAACUGUUCAAUGAGUUGGGAGGGGGGCACAUUCAGAGCGGGGUGUUGCGAGAACAAGCGGUCUUUUGCUAGAUAACAGGAGCCAGGUGCGAGAUAACGGUAUGAGCGCAUGGAUGUUCUUCACAGCAACACUUACAUCUAUCAACAGAAGCGCAAAGAGGCGGGGACCCGCCUGAGCGCCUGCAAUAGGCUGAGCAAGUUUAAACCACGCCCAGUCGCUACUGUGAUAGGCCAACAGACGGGUUUGAACUGUCUAUCACAGUAUAAAGAAUACUGUUUACAUACAUCUAGUCAGUUCUCUGUUUUGCCCUGCGAGGUGGGACAGAGAGCCCAUAUAUACGAAAAUUGCAUUUACCACUCAUUGCUUAGCUAAUAAAAAAUACAUAGUAUACAAUCGGUGACUCAUUGUCAUAUUUAUCCUGAUACCAGAUUCGAAUUGACGCAACUCUAACACAUGUAUCAUUGUAGGAGUUUGCUCGUGGUGAAAUGGCGACAUGAGGCUGUGUGAUGAAGUGUCAAAAUAGAGGGAAGCUAACUGAAGUUAUCCUUCACUAUUUGGAGAGAGAGGCCAACUGUAUGGAAUGGCGUCGAUUAAUACGGAUGAAUCGGUUCACGUAUCAAACCCAUUCCAUGGAGGACCAAGUGCCUACUUGUUUUCGCUCCAUACUUGUACUUGAUAUAUGUGUAUUAAUAUUGUACUAAUAUUCAGACACAUUUAGUUGUUUCUAUAUUUAUCUAUAAUUUAGGGUUUUCAUACGGGGCUUCAAGUAAAUUAAUAUUAGUGCCUGAAGAAGUCCUUGAAUUUGACUUGCCACUAUAUGACCCCAUAUAAUUCUUAAUAUGGUGUGAAUGGGAAAUACAUUUGGUUUUUGUGAGUGAAAUAAUACAGUGAAGACAAGGUUAUUCAUAAAAUAGUACAUAGUGCUGCCUGAAACAUACUGUGAUCUUGUACUAAAUGGUUGUUGAGUCAUUUAUGCAUUUAUGUGAAUUUAGGAAAUCUACUAUAGAUUAAGUGCACUUAUGUUGUGCAAUUUAAAAUGUGUACUUUGUGUCUAACGUGAGUGAAUGUUUUGUCAAGGAUUAUCUACCUGAUCUACAGAAAUGAGAUAAUUGAACAUGAAAAGGGAUGGGGCCACAGUGUCUCCUGACCCCUCCUGUCUCAGCCUCCAGUAUUUAUGCUGCAGUAGUUUAUGUGUCGGGGGGCUAGGGUCAGUUUGUUAUAUCUGGAGUACUUCUGUCCUAUUCGGUGUCCUGUGUGAAUCUAAGUGUGCGUUCUCUAAUUCUCUCCUUCUCUCUUUCUUUCUCUCUCUCGGAGGACCUGAGCCCUAGGACCAUGCCCCAGGACUACCUGACAUGAUGACUCCUUGCUGUCCCCAGUCCACCUGGCCAUGCUGCUGCUCCAGUUUCAACUGGCCUGGGCCCUAGGACCAUUUCCCAGGACUACCUGACAUGAUGACUCCUUGCUGUCCCCAGUCCACCUGGCCAUGCUGCUGCUCCAGUUUCAACUGUUCUGCCUUACUAUUAUUCGACCAUGCUGGUCAUUUAUGAACAUUUGAACAUCUUGGCCAUGUUCUGUUAUAAUCUCCACCCGGCACAGCCAGAAGAGGACUGGCCACCCCACAUAUGCUCUCUCUAAUUCUCUCUUUCUUUCUCUCUCUCGGAGGACCUGAGCCCUAGGACCGUGCCCCAGGACUACCUGACAUGAUGACUCCUUGCUGUCCCCAGUCCACCUGGCCAUGCUGCUGCUCCAGUUUCAACUGGCCUGGGCCCUAGGACCAUGUCCCAGGACUACCUGACAUGAUGACUCCUUGCUGUCCCCAGUCCACCUGACUGUGCUGCUGCUCCAGUUUCAACUGUUCUGCCUUAUUAUUAUUCAACCAUGCUGGUCAUUUAUGAACAUUUGUACAUCUUGGCCAUGUUCUGUUAUAAUCUCUACCCGGCACAGCCAGAAGAGGACUGGCCACCCCACAUAGCCUGGUUCCUCUCUAGGUUUCUUCCUAGGUUUUGGCCUUUCUAGGGAGUUUUUCCUAGCCACCGUGCUUUUACACCUGCAUUGUUUGCUGUUUGGGGUUUUAGGCUGGGUUUCUGUACAGCACUUUGAGAUAUCAGCUGAUGUACGAAGGGCUAUAUAAAUAAAUUCAACAAAUUAUGGCAUUCUCUGGAUUUGUGGUGCUUUCAAGACAACUGGGAACUCAGGGGACAAAAUGAUGACGUCAGUGAUCUUCAGGUCAUAGAUAAGAAAGAGUUCCCAAUUUACAAUUCCAAGUUGGAUGAGUUCAAAACGUUUUCCCAGUCGUAGCUUGUUUUUCCCUGAGUUCCCAGUUGAAUUGAACUCACUCCAGUCAGAUUUUGAAGUACCGAGUUAAGUUGUUUUGAACACGGAACAAAUCAAGCUUCAUCGACAGCAUGGCCAAUGUUGAAUCUUUACAAUAUUAAACUAGGAAAAGAGCCCCUUAAUCUUAGACUUGAGACCACAGAGCCACUCCACUGAAUAGCAGGCUAAUGAUUGCUUUGCGAUGCUUGCCGUUAGCCACUGAUUCCUUCCAAACCACUCAUUGUUGAAUUUGCAAUUUGUUGUGUAAUGUUUAUGUCCAAUGGCCGAUGAGCACCGAUACAUUUUAUCUAUAAUUUCUCAUUAUUUCUCUUCAUAUGACAAAGAUUAAAAAGGAUUUGCCAGUA